AUAUUUACCUGGAAAGGGAGACACCAUGAUCACAAAGAUGGUUUUCCCAAAGUGAAUCUCAUCCAUUGCACUCUGGGUGUGCUGACCCCCUUCUAUUUCCCCAAAGGCUGGAAACUUGACUCUAUAGUUUGUGGUAGUGGGGAACUACAUUUGGUUUUAA